rnacentral:rRNA from 1 species
CAACCUGCCCCAGAGACCGGGACAACAGUUCGAAAGGACUGCUAAUACCGGAUGUGCCCACCCUGUCGCAUGACCGGGGUGAGUAAAGCGGAGUAAUUCGGCUCUGGGAGGGGCUUGCGGCCUAUCAGCUAGAUGGCGAGGUAGUGGCUCACCAUGGCGACGACGGGUAGCUGGUCUGAGAGGAUGGUCAGCCGGACUGGGACUGAGAUACGGCCCAG